rnacentral:misc_RNA from 1 species
CAGAUCGUUUGGUCGUCAUUCCAGCCUGCCAUAAUACUAUAAAAGCUUAUUUUGCAUCUUUUAAAAGCAUCUUUGGCCAUUGCUUACAAAACCAGCCGAUAUCAUAUCAAGGAACGAGAAAUUUCAUCUAGGCAAUAUUUGGAGCUUUGGAGUUCAACAAUCAAGCUUGAAUAAUUUCUGGGUUCCUUUUACAAACUCUUUCCUUUAAUUAUAUUUUGAAAUUUUACUAUUUUAGAAUGAUAAAUCUAGGAGUGCAAUUAUUGGAAAUGGUUCUUGAAUCUUUAUC